CAGUCCAUCCUAAUCCCUGCUGGUCACGCCCGUACCUGCAAGGCUUCGCUGGUGGACCAGAGUACCCCAGAAACCCUCGUGGAGCGCUGGUGCCCGGCGUGGGCUCCCAGCUGCCAGGGGGCUCUGAACACAA
rnacentral:snoRNA from 1 species